AUAGGGGAGGGUCCAAUGGUGGGGGGGGUCUCAUUGUCCCCAUGGGGGGGUCCCUGUUCCCCCCCCCCCAGGUGGAGUUCCAUCUGUGUAUCCGUGUGGGGGGCACCGUCAGUUCCUGCAGCCAUGGAUGUGCCCCCCCCCGAUGCCCUGUUCACAUUGACCCCAAUGUGGGACCCCCCCAUGGGGCAGCACAGCCGCCCCCAGCGGCUCCUGCUCUUCAUGUUCCUACAGCACCGGGACCCCUUCCAGCCCCACAACCACGGUUCCCGGCAGCUGGUUCUGACCCAUUUGGAGCCAACAUUGAGCUGCAGCCGAUCCCUGUUGGGCCGGGCAGUGAAGGAGCUGCUGCACCCACUGCUGGAUGGGGUGACAAGGAGGAAUAGGGUGACCCCAUAGGGACACAUAGAGACCCAUAGAUACCCCAUAGGGACCCAUAGAGACCCAUUGAGACCCCAUUGAGAGCCAUUGAGACCCCAUAGGGACACACAGGGACCUGCUGCACCCGCUGCUGGAUGGGGUGACAAGGAGGAAUAGGGUGACCCCAUAGAGACCCCAUAGAGAUCCACUGAGACCCAUAGAUACCCAUAGAGACCCAUAGAGACCCAUAGAGACCCAUAGAGACCCAUAGAGAUCCAUAGGAGCCCAUAGAGACCCAUAGAGACCCCAUAGAGACNCCCAUAGAGACCCAUAGAGACCCAUAGAGAUCCAUAGGAGCCCAUAGAGACCCAUAGAGACCCCAUAGAGACACAUAGACCUCAUAGAGACCCACUGAGAUCCAUUGAGACCCAUUGAGACCCAUAGAGACCCAUAGAUACCCAUAGAGACCCAUUGAGAUCCAUUGAGACCCCAUAGAGACCCAUAGAGACCCCAUAGAGACCCCAUUGAGACCCAUUGAGACCCCAUAGAGACCCAUAGAGACCCAUAGGGAUCCAUAGGAGCCCAUAGGGACACACAGGGACCUGCUGCACCCACUGCUGGAUGGGGUGACAAGGAGGAAUAGGGUGACCCCAUAGAGACCCCAUAGAGACCCAUAGAGACCCAUUGGGAUCCAUAGAGACCCAUUGAGACCCAUUGAGACCCCAUUGAGAUCCAUAGAGAGCCAUUGAGAGCCCAUAGGGACACACAGGGACCUGCUGCACCCGCUGCUGGAUGGGGUGACAAGGAGGAAUAGGGUGACCCCAUAGAGACCCCAUAGUACCCCAUAAAUACCCCAUAGGGACCCAUAGGGACCCCAUAGGGAUCCAUUGAGAUCCAUAGAGACCCAUAGGGAUCCAUAGAGACCCAUAGAGAUCCCAUAGAGACCCAUUGAGAGCCAUUGAGACCCCAUAGGGACACACAGGGACCUGCUGCACCCACUGCUGGAUGGGGUGACAAGGAGGAAUAGGGUGACCCCAUA
rnacentral:lncRNA from 1 species